rnacentral:rRNA from 1 species
CAGUCGCCGCGGGAAUACGAAGGGGGCUAGCGUUGUUCGGAAUUACUGGGCGUAAAGCGCACGCAGGCGGCUCGAUAAAUUAGAAGUGAAAGCCUUGGGCUUAACCUGAGAAUUGCUUUUAAGACUGUCGAGCUAGAAUCCAGAAGAGGGUAGUGGAAUUCCGAGUGUAGAGGUGAAAUUCGUAGAUAUUCGGAAGAACACCAGUGGCGAAGGCGACUACCUGGUCUGGCAUUGACGCUCAUGUGCGAAAGCGUGGGGAGCAAACAGGAUUAGAUACCCGCGUAGUCCCUGUCUCUUAUAU